ensembl:lncRNA
CAGGCUCAGACACGGCCCUGCACAGACAGGGACUGAGUGGUGUUUCAGGAAUCGUGCUGUCGCACCAAUGGAUCCACUGUCCUCUGAAACCGGGCCGCUGCUGCAGAAGUGCUGGGGCUGAGCAAAGCAGCCAUUUCUUGGCCAGGAGUUUGCUUUUGCUCGUGACAGCUCGCCUCUGGGUGAUGGCUGCCUUGAUGCUGUUUCCAUCCCAGCUGCAGUGUAGCAGGUGUGCUUGUGCUCCUGCCAGGCUGUGCCUGGGGCUGUGCUGCUUUUGCAUGGGAGAAGCAGAGAUUGAUGAUGGUUGUUCUUCCCUGGGCAUCGUUAUACUGGGCUGCUACAAACUGCUCUGCUUUGAUCUGCUUCAGGUCUUAGGCAGCUAUAUGUCUUUAGGAUAUAUUUAAACAUGGAUCAUCACUCCUGUUCUUUCUCUGUUUUAUUUUUUGCAUACUUCCUAGGAACAGGUGCAUGCUGCCACUUAGACUCAUUAGAGUCUCUUGGUGGAGGUAAUACCCUUCUGUUACUCUCCCCGCAGCACCUCAAAGCAAGCCAGAGUUCAAGCAAAUUCUCUUCCUUGCAUUGCAGUGUGUACGCAGGGGCUGCAAGUCCUGCUUUGCACUCUCCUUCCCCCGCUAUUGGUUUUGACAAUUUACUAGUGAUAAGAUGGUAAAUAAUUGAUGAGGUCACUUUUUCUGUGCAUACAGUGGGAACUAGUUAAAAAAAAUAAAGCCAGUUGUGUUUCUCCUUAUGAGUCUGCAUGCUGGCAAGAUAAAUAAAUAAACAAUUGCAUAGUUAGUUCCUCCUUGCUUCUUUAUUCCUAGGCUCUCGCACUUAUUAAUUUGCUUGCUAAUUUUCUGCUUGAUCACUGUGAUUAUACUCUUUUUGGUUCCUACUUGCCUUUUUAAUGUCGGUUUUUGACCUUAAGCGUGAUUGGCAGAUGAUUAUCCAUCCCCAAAGAGAAGUUCCCAUCGUUGCCCAAAAGGAAAUGCUCUGGACAUGCAGUGCGGGAAGCUCAGCGGGUGGGUGGUUGUGCUGAUCCUCACAUAUCUGGCAAUCUCUACAACAAAUUGAGCAUUCUUGGGAGAUGAUGCUAUUUUUGUUUAGUGUCAGGGAUCUGCCAGUUAACAUCAUGAUCUGUUUGGUAACACGGAGACUGUUGUCUUUCCUUCUCUCCACAACAGCAACUUCCUUUCUGUCUCAUCUGCUUCCACCUCGCUGUCUCUGUGAUGGAAAUCAACUUCAGUGAGCCUGUGAACGCUAAGUAGAUGAGUAACUACACUAAUGGAGAGAAAAAUACAGGGUGAACAGCCUGUUUCAUCUGCCCUGAGGGUGUCUUGGCGGUGGAGGAGAAGGGCUGGCAGUACCAUCGUCUCUGCACCAGCACUGCUGUGCUAGCUCCUUGUGCCAGGGAAGCAGCCCCUCACACCCCUGCAGCUGCCACUAGUGACACAGUGCUUAGUUUAUGGGGCUGAAACAGGCUGGAACAGAAGUUGGUGGCCCCACAUGCAGUACUGCAUCCAGACCUGGGGUGGCCAGCAUCCCUUGGAUGUGGAGCUGUUGGAGUGGGUCCAGAGAAGGGCCACAAAGAUGAACAGAGGUCUGGAGCACAUCUCCUAUGAAGGAAGGUGGAGGGAAAUGAGCUGGUUCAGCCUGGAGAAGAGAAGGCUGUAAGGAGACCUCACUGCAGGUCUUGAAGGAAGCUUCCCUUCAAGCUACAUUGUUGUACUUGAUGGGAUAGUAUUAACUAGGGGGAGAUCAACUUUUUACACAGGCGGAUAGUGAUAGGACAAGGGGAAAGGACUUUAAAAUAAAGUAGGGGAAAUUCAGGUGAGAUGUUACAUGGCAAUUCUUUACCCAGAGGGCGGUGAGGUGCUGGCACAGCUGCCCAGAGAAGCUGUGGUGCCCCAUCCCUGGAGGCGCUCAAGGCCAGGCUGGAUGGGGCCCUGGGCAGCCUGAGCUGGUGAGGGGAAGCCCUGUCCACGGCAUGGGGUGGGGCUGGGUGAGCUUUGAGGUCCAUUCCAACCCAAACCGUUGAGUGAAGGGCCCAGUGACCUCAGACGGACAGAUUGUCAGUGGGCUGUCAGUAUCAGUUUUACAAAUGGUAAUUUUCAUGAAUGUAGUGCAAAACAGUAACCUGUGAAUAGUGCAGUGUUAAAUAAAUCUUCCAAGAUUUAGAUGUGCACUUGAAGGGCCUCUCCAGAAUUAUCAGCAUCCUUCUUCGUAUUUUGAUAGAGUUUUAAUGUUUUUUUCUGUUGAGUUCAGAAGAGUUGUGUUACAUUGACCUUGACAGAAGGAAAGCCUGGUCAGACUGUACGGAGAAAGCCCGGAGGAAACUUCACAGCACUGCACAGAUGGCUAAACAGGUUGACAUACAGUUGCAGUCAAUCCCAGUCUUUGGGAAGUGUGUGAAUUUGGUCUUGUAAUAAGCCCACAUCUCCUGUAGAAGAAAAUGAGGCGCUUAGCCAUUAUUGAAUGUGUUAAGGAAAAGGUUGAGAGUAGAUGUAUGCUGUAAUAAUGCUCACUAAGAAUGGAAAAACAAGCUCGUAGUUGUAAAUGCGGGUAACUUACAACAAUUUGUUACAAAAAAAAAUUAGACUGCUUUUUUUCUGUAUAAUGUUGUCUUCCUGCAUCAGUUCUUAUCGUAAAGGUACCCCGCAGCUUCACCUUCUUGUGCCUAAUGCACUUCCCACCAUUGUUGCUCAGCAGCAUCUCCUGUGUGGGAUAACAGAAAAGUUAUUUCAUUCCGCAGUGUUUCAUACAUGAAAUAGUAGAAUUGAGUGAGCAGGCUCAGAACUUGGCUUAGCAAUGGUAUUAAGUUCAUCCUUUUUCCUCCCCACAUAUACCCAAGAUGAGUCGCUGGUUUCAAUUUCAUUAAAUCCCAUUUGUGGAUCCCACCAACACUAAUGCUGAACGUGAGGAUGAACUGGAUGGGUUAUGUUAUUACUGCUUAUAAACUUCCAGUGAUUAUCAUCAAUUAUCCGAAGCACACAAUAAAAUAUUUCUCGUGUGCAUAACAUUUUAAUAACGGGAAGAAGGAAGGAUGAGCUCGAGUUUAGCUGUCGUGUAUUGUUGAAUGCUUUGCUUUAGCUGCUUGCAAUUGCUGUGGCCCUUUUGAUUAAUUCUAUAGGAAAAGUCAAGUGCGCUCAUUGGUGGUUUUGUUUUGUUUUGUUUUUCUUUUUUUCCAAAGGACAAGGAGUCGUGUUAGAAGUAUAUAACAUACGCCUUUGGGAUUCUGUGUUCAUAAGGAUACUGAACAGUCUGAGAUUGGUAUCUCUCUUUAAAGAAUGCAAUUACUUCUUUCAUAUUAAAGAGUCUCUUGUAUUAAGUAAAAAUAAUGGAAACCUUCCAGUACAGUUAAAGUGUUUCCAAACUUCCUUGCUUUGUAAGAAGAUGCAGAAAUCAGUGAAGGGUGAGAUGAAAAAAGAAGGAGUAUCCAGAUAAGUUUUUCUGGCUAAAGAAAUGCAUUGAAGCAAGCUGUAUAGAUGGAAGUUUUCACCACUCAGAUGCAGAAAGGACUAGAGCACAUUUCAUCUUGGCGAAGGAAGUCUAGAGCACUAUGACAGUCAUUUCUGGUCAUUUAAAAGUGACCAAGGUCAAGAACGCUUGCAUGGAAGUGAGUGAUAGAUGUUUAGGAUCUGCAGUAUGAGAAGUGUUUUUUUCAUUACAGGGUUCAUGUGGCAAAUUAUCACACUGAUCGUACCUUUGUCUUGCAAAAUGGGGACUGUCAACUUAACUUUUGUUUAAUACUGCUCCAGCUUCAUUUUAUUUAUGCUGUUAAGUUAUCGAGGGGGGGGGGGGGGGGGGGGAGGGAAGAGAUUUAUCUUUGAUAUCAAAGCUCUUUCUUUUUGGUGCUGCCAGUCUGCAGAGGUCACCUCCCAUUAAGGACCAGCUCGCAGUAGUUCCCCAUUUAAUGCUGAGCUCUUUCAGAGGUCCUGAAUAGUGGUUAAGCUAAAUAAUUGCUCACUUGGCAGGACAAAUUUCAGGGAGGGGGCAUGUAGAAAGUUAGUGACAACUGAUAGCAGCCUCUUCUGCAGCACUGAUGUACAACCGGGUGGAGAAUGGGAAGAUAUUUUGUGCAAGUGUUUGCAUGAAGAACACGUCACAUUGUUAAGCUGAAUGUACUCUGCACUGUGAGCCAUUUCACCCGAUUCACACAGAUAGGAGAAAACUGCUAUCACCGGGAGUCUCUGUUUAUACCUUGCAUCCUCAGCAUUUCAUCCAGCAGCUCUGUGCAGCUCAUUCCAGUAACACGCUCAUUUUUGGUCCCCAGUGCAGUUUGUUACCACUCGGUCUCCAGAAUUGAAUGUUGGUAUUUUUAAAGAGCUGAUUAAUCUGAGGUACGACAGUAGAACUACCUCAUUAGUUAAAAAUAUUAGUAUCUCUAAAAUCUGCUGUUUGAUUGUUCUGUUGAAGCAGGAUAGCCAAAGUCAGGGCUCUGUGCCUGUGUUAGAAGCAAAAUGUGUUGAUGCUAGAUGUUGCCCCUCCUUAUUCUUACCUGCGCUGUCAUAGUGGGGGUGAAAAGCAGGGCAGGGGAGAGGGUUGCAUGCAAGGGUGUGGAGUGCGUCUCAUGCUUAGGACUUCUCUGUACUGGUCUGCCUGAAGGAUCUGCCCAGGUGCAUGGCACCAAGGAAGGCACUGGUUGGGGUCAGCACAUGUUAAUGUGGUGUUGCCUUUGCCAGUCUCUGCAGGGGGGACUCCUCAUGCACCCGUGCUUCCCCAGGAACAGCUUAAGAGAGUGGGGAAACAUUGUCUGCCUUCCUAGUGGUAAUGGCCUUUGGAUGUGGGUGUAUAGCACUGCAGUUCUCUGUGCUCUGACUCUGCAGCAAGCCAAGCUUGCUGGCUGUGACUACUGAGAGUGACUUAAUGCAUCUCUGCCUUGCUGGUACUCUCCCAGCUUUGCAGUGACAUGGGGGUGACAUAAACAUGGGGAUGAUGUUUUCUUGCUGACAUCAUUAUUGGAUUAUAAUUACAGACUAUUUCUGUGCAGUUUUGCACUCUUCCAUCUCACAGGAGUUUAGACUAAACCCAAAAUUCAGUACAAUACACAUAAAAUCCUGAUAUUGUCUCCUGCAUUUUAGGUGUUUUGGUUUAACUCCUUUUCACAGAUGCUUAUGAACUUCAAUUUCAUUAGUUGACAUGCUUGUAAAUCAUCUCUCUGGCCUCUGGUCCCUCCCCUUAUAAAACAUUUGGUGUUAGAAAUUCCCAGCGUAUCAUCCAAAUAUUUUGGCAAGUUAUUUUAUAUUAACAGAAUUUGAUUCAAUGGCAGUAAUAAAUUUAAUGAAUGGAUUAAACUGAAUGAAUCUUUCCCUGCGUAUGUUAAUAAGAAUGUCCUUUUAAAAUUCAUUUUGUAAAAUGUGCAGCUUGAAAUUAGG